CCUGGCUCCGGAUGAACGCUAGCUACAGGCUUAACACAUGCAAGUCGAGGGGCAGCAUGGUCUUAGCUUGCUAAGACUGAUGGCGACCGGCGCACGGGUGAGUAACACGUAUCCAACCUGCCGUCUACUCUUGGACAGCCUUCUGAAAGGAAGAUUAAUACAAGAUGGCAUCAUGAGUCCGCAUGUUCACAUGAUUAAAGGUAUUCCGGUAGACGAUGGGGAUGCGUUCCAUUAGAUAGUAGGCGGGGUAACGGCCCACCUAGUCUUCGAUGGAUAGGGGUUCUGAGAGGAAGGUCCCCCACAUUGGAACUGAGACACGGUCCAAACUCCUACGGGAGGCAGCAGUGAGGAAUAUUGGUCAAUGGGCGAGAGCCUGAACCAGCCAAGUAGCGUGAAGGAUGACUGCCCUAUGGGUUGUAAACUUCUUUUAUAAAGGAAUAAAGUCGGGUAUGGAUACCCGUUUGCAUGUACUUUAUGAAUAAGGAUCGGCUAACUCCGUGCCAGCAGCCGCGGUAAUACGGAGGAUCCGAGCGUUAUCCGGAUUUAUUGGGUUUAAAGGGAGCGUAGAUGGAUGUUUAAGUCAGUUGUGAAAGUUUGCGGCUCAACCGUAAAAUUGCAGUUGAUACUGGAUAUCUUGAGUGCAGUUGAGGCAGGCGGAAUUCGUGGUGUAGCGGUGAAAUGCUUAGAUAUCACGAAGAACUCCGAUUGCGAAGGCAGCCUGCUAAGCUGCAACUGACAUUGAGGCUCGAAAGUGUGGGUAUCAAACAGGAUUAGAUACCCUGGUAGUCCACACGGUAAACGAUGAAUACUCGCUGUUUGCGAUAUACUGCAAGCGGCCAAGCGAAAGCGUUAAGUAUUCCACCUGGGGAGUACGCCGGCAACGGUGAAACUCAAAGGAAUUGACGGGGGCCCGCACAAGCGGAGGAACAUGUGGUUUAAUUCGAUGAUACGCGAGGAACCUUACCCGGGCUUAAAUUGCAGAUGAAUUACGGUGAAAGCCGUAAGCCGCAAGGCAUCUGUGAAGGUGCUGCAUGGUUGUCGUCAGCUCGUGCCGUGAGGUGUCGGCUUAAGUGCCAUAACGAGCGCAACCCUUGUUGUCAGUUACUAACAGGUUCCGCUGAGGACUCUGACAAGACUGCCAUCGUAAGAUGUGAGGAAGGUGGGGAUGACGUCAAAUCAGCACGGCCCUUACGUCCGGGGCUACACACGUGUUACAAUGGGGGGUACAGAGGGCCGCUACCACGCGAGUGGAUGCCAAUCCCCAAAACCUCUCUCAGUUCGGACUGGAGUCUGCAACCCGACUCCACGAAGCUGGAUUCGCUAGUAAUCGCGCAUCAGCCACGGCGCGGUGAAUACGUUCCCGGGCCUUGUACACACCGCCC
rnacentral:rRNA from 1 species